GAACUGCGAUGUACUGUCCAUGGUGUGCCCCGCCUCUCGCCCAUUGACUGCUGAAUAUAGGCACCAACACCCCUCGCGACCCCACUCGGGAUAAGCGUGCUAGAAAAUGGAUGGAUUUUGAACAGAAGGCAGAACAAGCCAGUAUCAGGAUGCCUUCCUGAUCCACUGGAUAAGCCUGGACCUUCUACCCCGCCUGGAAGGAAUUAUUUGAGUCCCACUGAGCAAGGGGAAACCUCUACCAGAUCCGUUCAAGUCUGCUUCAGAAAAACCCGGUGACAGUCCGCUCCAUUGCUCCUCUGGACCCAACGCUAGUCUGCCUGUCCGCCCUCCAACAAGUUCAUUCAUAUCUGGACAAAACUCCACAAACUGGAUCCUAAGGAAAACCAAGAGCCCCUCAAAUAGUUUCCGGUUCCGGUUCACCAGUCCGCUGAGGUUCAACUGAGUUUACCCUGCUGUAUAACCUCUCACUCUGUUUUUGUUAACCUACAAAUAAACCAGUUAACUUUUA